rnacentral:rRNA from 1 species
GUGCAGCAGGCGCGAAAACUUCACACUGCACGAAAGCGCGAUGAGGGAAUCCCAAGUGCUUGCACGUAAGUGCAAGCUGUUUCUCUGUUUAAAAAGCAGAGAGAGUAAGGGCUGGGUAAGACGGGUGCCAGCCGCCGCGGUAAUACCUGCAGCUCGAGUGGUGACCGCUAUUAUUGGGCCUAAAACGUCCGUAGCCGGUCUAGUAAAUGCCUGGGUAAAUCGUGAGGCUCAACCUUACGAAUUCCGGGUAGACUGCUAGACUUGAGACCGGGAGAGGCUAGAGGUACUCCUGGGGUAGAGGUGAAAUUCUGUAAUCCUAGGGGGACCACCAGUGGCAAAGGCGUCUAGCUAGAACGGGUCUGACGGUGAGGGACGAAGCCCGUGGGGCGCGAAAACCGGAUUAGAUACCCCUGUAGU